CUUUAGAUUUGAAAAUUUUACUACCAUCUACUUUGAUUGUGAGAGUGUGUGGGUCUUUGAUUAUAGCUCUCUAAAAUUGAUAAUCAAAUACUUGAAUAUAAAUGUGCAUGCAUGCUUUCCAAUAAGUGUAGUUUGUUCCAUUGAACCAUGGUGGAUGGUUGGUCGAUUGCCUUUCGACAAGAGAUGCACUCAUUUGAAUUGCCAUUUGAUCUUAACUCUUGAUUGUUAAAUCAAAUGCAAAUGAGUACCGAGCUCUGAUACCA
rnacentral:lncRNA from 1 species